rnacentral:rRNA from 1 species
CGCGGCCUAUCAGCUUGUUGGUGAGGUAACGGCUCACCAAGGCAUCGACGGGUAGCUGGUCUGAGAGGACGAUCAGCCACACUGGGACUGAGACACGGCCCAGACUCCUACGGGAGGCAGCAGUAGGGAAUCUUGCGCAAUGGGGGCAACCCUGACGCAGCAACGCCGCGUGUGGGAUGACGGCUUUCGGGUUGUAAACCACUUUCAGUGAUGACGAAAAUGACGGUAAUCACAGAAGAAGGUCCGGCCAACUACGUGCCAGCAGCCGCGGUAACACGUAGGGACCAAGCGUUGUCCGGAUUUAUUGGGCGUAAAGAGCUCGUAGGCGGUUCUGUAAGUCGGAUGUGAAAACUCAGGGCUCAACCCUGAGACGCCAUCUGAUACUGCAGUGACUAGAGUCCGGUAGAGGAAGAUGGAAUUCCUGGUGUAGCGGUGGAAUGCGCAGAUAUCAGGAGGAACACCAAUGGCGAAGGCAGUCUUCUGGGCCGGUACUGACGCUGAGGAGCGAAAGCAUGGGGAGCAAACAGGAUUAGAUACCCUGGUAGUCCAUGCCGUAAACGUUGGGCACUAGGUGUGGGGUCUUCUAACGGAUUCCGUGCCGUAGCUAACGCAUUAAGUGCCCCGCCUGGGGAGUACGG